UUAACUAUUAUAUACUACUCAGACGACACUAAAAUUCAGAGUUUGGGGUCCUCUGGCGGGCACACACCAGCCUGAGCCGGUGGCUAACCGUAAGGUAACGGCCCGCCAAAGCAACAAAGGUAGUAUAACACAGGGUGGGAGGUCUACCCGUGAGGGCAUGAACUCUGUAAUGAUCUCUCCGCAGGUUCACCUACGGAGA
rnacentral:misc_RNA from 1 species